AGUGUUCAAGCCCCACCUUUGGAGUCGAGUCCUGCCUUCUACCUCAGAACCGCCACCAUAAUCAGGAUUUAGAAUGUGUCACCCCAAAAAGCUUUUUCAUGCCCCUGGCCCCUUGCUUUCAAUCUCCUACAGCUCCUAGACAUGGAAUGUAUGCCCUGCAGGCUGGUCUCUUUCCUGACAGCUGAGAUGUCCUGUCCUAAGAACAGAGCCUGGCACGUGUCGGACAACUGUGGAGGGAACUGAUGAGUGAAAGAGAGCAUGGAGAAAUGAAUGAAUCAGCAUAAGCCCCACAGGGACGAAGACUAUAACUGGAGCACCCUUUCAUCCCCACUGCUGGACACAGGGUGGGGAACACUAAAUGUGCGCUAUGCAUUGUUUAUCGAACCAGGCUCUAUAUCAAAAAAACAAAACAAAAC